AUGGGUGCAACCAGCCUGCUGAAGAUCUCACUAAUAAACACAGGGAUAGGGAGCGGCUACUCUUCGGCUAGUAGCAACAAAUAUGCCAGCGUGGAGGGACGUGUAGAAAUCAGAAGAGAUGAUAGCAACAGCAUGAGAGGAGGACAGAGGACAGAGGACACACAGUUUAACAUGAUGGACUAUAGGACAGGACUGCUGCUGCUCACUGUCUGCUGGGCAGGUGUUGAUGGUCAGACUCUGACAGAAUCUGAACCAGUGACUAAAAGGCCUGGAGAAUCUCACAGAUUGACCUGUACAGCCUCUGGAUUCACAUUCAGUAGCUACUGGAUGCACUGGGUCAGACAGGCUCCUGGGAAAGGACUGGAGUGGAUCGCUUUAAUCUACACUGAUGGUAGCACCCAGUUCUACUCUGAGUCAGUGAAAGGCCGGUUCACCAUCUCCAGAGACAACACCAGACAGCAGGUGUAUCUGCAGAUGAGCAGUCUGACGGCUGGAGACUCUGCUGUUUAUUACUGUGCUCGAGACACAGUGACUGAAGCUGGUUGAGCAGCUGUACAAAAA